rnacentral:rRNA from 1 species
UACGAGGGGGGCAAGCGUUGUUCGGAAUUAUUGGGCGUAAAGGGCGCGUAGGCGGCCACCGCAAGUCGACUGUGAAAUCUCCGGGCUUAACCCGGAAAGGUCAGCCGAUACUGCGGGGCUAGAGUGCAGAAGGGGCAACUGGAAUUCUCGGUGUAGCGGUGAAAUGCGUAGAUAUCGAGAGGAACACCUGCGGCGAAGGCGGGUUGCUGGGCUGACACUGACGCUGAGGCGCGAAAGCUAGGGGAGCGAACGGG